UACGGAGGGUGCGAGCGUUGUUCGGAAUCACUGGGCGUAAAGGGCGUGUAGGCGGUCCGCUAAGUCUGAUGUGAAAGCCCGGGGCUCACCCCCGGAAGUGCAUUGGAAACUGACGGACUCGAGUCCCGGAGAGGAGGGUGGAAUUCCUGGUGUAGCGGUGAAAUGCGUAGAUAUCAGGAGGAACACCGGUGGCGAAGGCGGCCCUCUGGACGGUGACUGACGCUGAGGCGCGAAAGCGUGGGGAGCAAACGGG
rnacentral:rRNA from 1 species